UACGUAGGUGGCUAGCGUUGUUCGGAUUUACUGGGCGUAAAGCGCACGUAGGCGGAUCGUUAAGUCGGGGGUGAAAUCCUGGAGCUCAACUCCAGAACUGCCUUCGAUACUGGCGAUCUCGAGUCCGGGAGAGGUGAGUGGAACUGCGAGUGUAGAGGUGAAAUUCGUAGAUAUCGCAAGAACACCAGUGGCGAAGGCGGCUCACUGGCCCGGUACUGACGCUGAGGUGCGAAAGCGUGGGGAGCAAACAGG
rnacentral:rRNA from 1 species